rnacentral:rRNA from 1 species
AAACCAACAGGGAUUGCCUUAGUAGCGGCGAGUGAAGCGGCAAGAGCUCAAAUUUGAAAUCUGGUACCUUCGGUGCCCGAGUUGUAAUUUGAAGAAAGCUGUCUUGAAUUUGGCCUUUGUCUAUGUUCCUUGGAACAGGACGUCACAGAGGGUGAGAAUCCCGUGCGAUGAGGUGUCCAUUUUCAUAUAAGACGUUUUCGAAGAGUCGAGUUGUUUGGGAAUGCAGCUCUAAGUGGGUGGUAAAUUCCAUCUAAAGCUAAAUAUUGGCGAGAGACCGAUAGCGAACAAGUACUGUGAAGGAAAGAUGAAAAGAACUUUGAAAAGAGAGUGAAAAAGUACGUGAAAUUGUUGAAAGGGAAGGGUAUUCGAUCAGACUUGGUAUUUAGUUAUCAUUGCUCCUUGUGGGUGGUGCUCUAACUUUUUACUGGGCCAGCAUCAGUUUUGGUGGCAAGAUAAUGGCAGUUGAAUGUGGCUCCUCGGAGUGUUAUAGCUUCUGCUGAUAUUGCCUACUGGGACUGAGGUCUGCGGCUUUUGCCUAGGAUGCUGGCGUAAUGAUCGAAUACCGC